AGAUUUGAUUUAAUUUUUAUUUCCUUCCUUUUGAAUACACUCCUUAAAAUUCUUUUUUUAGGGAUCAAAGUGUUUCAAAUCGUUUACUGUGAAGAAAUUAGAGUGUUCAAAGCAGGCGUAACCUAGCCUUUGAAUAUAUUAGCAUGGGAUAAUGAAAUAGGACUUUAGUUCUACUUUCGUUGGUUUCUAGGGCUGAAGUAAUGAUUAAUAGGGAUAGUUGGGGUCACUAGUAUUUAAUUGUCAGAGGUGAAAUUCUAAGAUUUAUUAAAGACUAACUACUGCGAAAGCAUUUGACAAGGAUGUUUUCAUUAAUCAAGAACGAAAGUUGGGGGAUCGAAGAUGAUCAGAUACCGUCGUAGUCUCAACCAUAAACUAUGCCGACCAAGGAUCCGGGGUUGUUAAUAUGGAUGACUCUCCGGGCACUUAUAGAGAAAUCAUAAGUAUUUGGGCUCCGGGGGGAGUAUGGUCGCAAGGCUGAAACUUAAAGGAAUUGACGGAAGGGCACCACAAGGAGUGGAACCUGCGGUUUAAUUUGACUCAACACGGGAAAACUUACCAGGUCCAGACACAGUGAGGAUUGACAGAUUGAGAGUUCUUUCUUGAUUCUGUGAGUGGUGGUGCAUGGCCGUUUCUAGUUGGUGGAGUGAUUUGUCUGGUUAAUUCCGUUAACGAACGAGACCUUAACCUAUUAAAUAGUUAUUUAAACUUGAUUUCUCGUAAAUCAAAUGUUUAACUAACUUCUUAGAGGGACUCUUCAC
rnacentral:rRNA from 1 species